UUUCUCUUGCCUUUUUGUUCGUCAACGUGUAACAUUUAGCGCUCGCCAUGUGAAAGAAACAAAGUUAAGAAAGUUCCGACUUACAUACAACGCACAAAGCGAGUCUCGAAUUCAUUCAUUCACUCACACAGUCACACUCUCCCUCGUCGCGCUCAUGGCAUCAUCCAUUAUCAUUUCCGAUACUCAGCCAUGGAAGGACCUGAAGGCGCAUGUGGAGGACAUCAAGAAAACGCAUCUUCGCGAUCUGUUGACCGAUGAUAAGCGGUGCCAGUCCAUGUUCCUUGAGUUCGAUGACAUUCUGUUGGACUAUUCAAGGCAACAAGCCACUCCCGAAACUAUCCAAAAACUACUUAAAUUGGCGGAGGCUGCAUCGCUCAGAGAUAAGAUUAACCGCAUGUACAGCGGGGAACAUAUUAACAGCACGGAAAACAGGUCCGUGCUUCACGUCGCCCUUCGUGCUUCAAGGGAUGCUGUCAUACAAAGUGAUGGGGAAAAUGUUGUGCCAGAAGUUUGGAAAGUUCUUGACAACAUCCAGGAGUUCUCUGAGCGGGUUCGCAAUGGUUCUUGGGUUGGUGCUACAGGAAAGGCUUUGAAGGACGUUGUUGCAAUUGGUAUUGGGGGAAGCUUCUUGGGUCCGCUGUUUGUACACACUGCACUUCAAACAGACCCUGAUGCUAUUGAAUCUGCAAGGGGUCGUCAGCUGCGCUUUCUUGCAAAUGUUGAUCCUAUUGACGUUGCUAGAAAUAUCACAGGAUUAAAUCCUGAAACAACACUUGUUGUGGUUGUUUCAAAGACUUUUACAACUGCUGAAACCAUGCUGAAUGCUCGAACUCUUAGAGAAUGGAUAUCAUCUGCACUUGGGCCCUCUGCUGUUGCAAAGCAUAUGGUGGCUGUUAGCACAAAUCUCAAGCUUGUGGAACAGUUUGGUAUUGACCCUAACAAUGCUUUUGCGUUUUGGGAUUGGGUCGGUGGGCGAUACAGUGUUUGCAGUGCUGUUGGAGUUUUGCCAUUGUCUUUACAAUACGGUUUCUCAGUAAUGGAGAAGUUCUUAAGUGGGGCUUCAAGCAUUGAUCAACAUUUCUAUUCACAGCCCUUUGAAAGCAAUAUACCUGUGCUUCUGGGUUUGUUGAGCAUAUGGAAUGUUUCAUUUCUUGGAUAUCCUGCCAGAGCCAUCUUACCUUAUAGUCAAGCUCUGGAGAAGUUGGCCCCCCACAUUCAACAGGUUAGCAUGGAGAGUAAUGGCAAGGGUGUUUCAAUUGAUGGUGUUCCUCUACCAUUUGAGGCUGGCGAAAUUGAUUUUGGUGAACCAGGAACUAAUGGGCAGCAUAGCUUUUAUCAGCUCAUACAUCAGGGGCGUGUAAUUCCUUGUGAUUUUAUUGGAGUUGUAAAAAGUCAGCAACCUGUCUUUCUGAAAGGUGAAGUAGUGAGUAACCAUGAUGAGCUCAUGUCCAACUAUUUUGCACAACCUGAUGCCCUUGCAUAUGGAAAGACAGCAGACCAGCUGCAAAAGGAGAAUGUUUCCCCACACCUUAUUCCUCACAAGACAUUCAGCGGUAACCGACCUUCUCUCAGCCUACUGCUUCCAUCAUUGAAUGCUUACAAUAUUGGGCAGGUACAUAGUCCGCAAGGUUGUGAUUAGUAAUUAAAGGAAAAUGGUUUAUUCCUGUUUACUUAUUUUAUCGAGCAUGUUCCUGAGGAAAAUUAGGUACAUGACUGAUGAGAAUUAUGCACAAUAAUAUAUUGAAUAUUCAUAUUUUUGCAAUAUGGACAUGCAUUUAGUUUAUUUUUUCUCUUUUGAAAAGCUAUUUGUCAUAUUCCAAACUAGGCAUUCACACUGGAGAUUUAACAUGAGAAAUAAGCAUUCACUUUGGAAAAGUUGUUUAUAGGGAGUAUUUUAGUUUUUAUUCUUUAAUGCCUAUUCCUUCAUAAUAUGUUGACAGUUUAGGCCAGUAUCAGAAUAACUACUGCAAAAGCUAUCUGUUUGGCAAAUAAUUUCAUUCAUUUUUCUUUCUGUUCGUUGUGUUUUCUCCAAUCCUUCAGUUUCUUUUUUUAGUUCUUGAUAGAAUAUAAAGGUGGCAUAUGUGCAUCUUUGGUUCCAUAAUCGAGUUGUAUAUUCUACAUAAUUGGUCAUAAUUACUUUAUUGGUCAUAAUUUCCUGGUGCUCUAUGUUCCUCAGUUGUUGGCAAUCUAUGAACACAGAAUUGCUGUAGAGGGUUUCAUUUGGGGAAUCAAUUCUUUUGAUCAGUGGGGAGUAGAGCUGGGGAAGUCACUGGCUACUCAAGUCAGAAAACAACUUAAUGCAUCUCGAACAAAACAAGAACCAGUUCAAGGUUUUAAUUUCAGUACAACAACAAUGUUGAAUAGAUAUCUUCAGGCAAGUUCAGAUAUCCCAGCGGAUCUGCCAACUUCUUUACCGAAGAUCGAAUAGCCUUUUUGCCAAUAGUUGUGUUCAUAAUGAAUAAUAAGAAAAUAAUCUGGUGAAUGUUAUAUAUACAGCACGCCUACGAACAUGUUUUUAUAUCCGUAUCGAUUUUAACUAGUUUAGCACGAUACGUGGUUAUCCUAUUCCCUUGCUGUCGAGUUAUCUUCUGCUGGAAAGUGAAAAGCAUUUUGGAUUCUAAA